rnacentral:rRNA from 1 species
AUUGAACGCUGGCGGCAGGCCUAACACAUGCAAGUCGAGUGGUAGAGAGAAGCUUGCUUCUCUUGAGAGCGGCGGACGGGUGAGUAAUGCCUAGGAAUCUGCCUGGUAGUGGGGGAUAACGUUCGGAAACGGACGCUAAUACCGCAUACGUCCUACGGGAGAAAGCAGGGGACCUUCGGGCCUUGCGCUAUCAGGUGAGCCUAGGUCGGAUUAGCUAGUUGGUGAGGUAAUGGCUCACCAAGGCGACGAUCCGUAACUGGUCUGAGAGGAUGAUCAGUCACACUGGAACUGAGACACGGUCCAGACUCCUACGGGAGGCAGCAGUGGGGAAUAUUGGACAAUGGGCGAAAGCCUGAUCCAGCCAUGCCGCGUGUGUGAAGAAGGUCUUCGGAUUGUAAAGCACUUUAAGUUGGGAGGAAGGGCAGUUACCUAAUACGUGAUUGUUUUGACGUUACCGACAGAAUAAGCACCGGCUAACUCUGUGCCAGCCGCCGCUGUAA